AUUGAACGCUGGCGGCAGGCCUAACACAUGCAAGUCGGGCGGAGCGGCGGACGGGUGCGUAAUGUAUGGGGAUCUGCCUGGUAGCGGGGGAUAACGUCCGGAAACGGGCGCUAAUACCGCAUACUAUCAGAUGUGCCCAGGUCGGAUUAGCUAGUGGGUGGGGUAAAGGCAUACCUAGGCGACGAUCCGUAACUGGUCUGAGAGGAUGAUCAGUCACACUGGAACUGAGACACGGUCCAGACUCCUACGGGAGGCAGCAGUGGGGAAUAUUGGACAAUGGGCGAAAGCCUGAGCCAGCCAUGCCGCGUGUGUGAAGAAGGUCUUCGGAUUGUAAAGCACUUUAAGUUGGGAGGCGUUACCAACAGAAUAAGCACCGGCUAACUUCGUGCCAGCCGCCGCGGUAAUUC
rnacentral:rRNA from 1 species